rnacentral:lncRNA from 1 species
CUUUAAAUAAAUUUCUUCGAAAUAUUUUUUUUUUUUGAAAGAGAUAGGUAGCACGCUACCCGCUUCGUUUAUUUCAUUAAGAAAUAAACUUAGCUAGAAAUGUGAAUCAACUAGGAUUCGAACUUGGGACCUCGGGUACCAACCACCAAGUCCUUUGCCACUUGCUCUAGGGACGGUCGGUUUUGAAAUAUUCUUGGUAAGGAUGCCUUUGGUGA